rnacentral:rRNA from 1 species
GAUGAACGCUGACAGAAUGCUUAACACAUGCAAGUCAACGAAGUGGCGGACGGGUGAGUAACGCGAAAAGAAUUUGCCUCACAGGUAGGGAAAACAUUGGGACACGAAUGCUAAUACCUAAUUCUGUGGGGGAGCUUUGCGUCUCAUUAGCUUGUUGGAGUGGUAACGGCUCACAACGGCGAUGAUGGGUAGCCGGCCUGGGAGGGUGAUCGGCCAAAAGGGAACUGGGACACGGCCCUUACUCCUACGGGGGGCAGCAGGGGGGAAUAUUUGACAAGGGACCAAAGUCUGAUCGAGCAAUUCUGUGUGCACGAUGAAGUUUUCGUAAUGUAAAGUGCUUUCAGUUGAGAAGCGGUACCAACAGAAGAAGUGACGGCUAAAUACGUGCCAGCAGCCGCGGUAAUAC